AUAAUUUUUUACUCUUUUAUCACAAAAGUCCUUAAAUCAAAAUCUCCUAACACUAAAAUCCGCUAUUUCUUUUUUCAAAAUCUACACUAAAGUUCAAUUCUAAACUAAAAAGAACGUUUGAAUGGCUUGUCAAAUCCGUUUCUGUAGUAAAUUGAAUCAUUUAU
rnacentral:sRNA from 1 species